rnacentral:rRNA from 1 species
UGUUGCCAGCGGUCCGGCCGGGAACUCAAAGGAGACUGCCAGUGAUAAACUGGAGGAAGGUGGGGAUGACGUCAAGUCAUCAUGGCCCUUACGACCAGGGCUACACACGUGCUACAAUGGCGCAUACAAAGAGAAGCGACCUCGCGAGAGCAAGCGGACCUCAUAAAGUGCGUCGUAGUCCGGAUUGGAGUCUGCAACUCGACUCCAUGAAGUCGGAAUCGCUAGUAAUCGUGGAUCAGAAUGCCACGGUGAAUACGUUCCCGGGCCUUGUACACACCGCCCGUCACACCAUGGGAGUGGGUUGCAAAAGAAGUAGGUAGCUUAACCUUCGGGAGGGCGCUUACCACUUUGUGAUUCAUGACUGGGGUGAAGUCGUAACAAGGUAACCGUAGGGGAACCUGCGGUUGGAUCACCUCCUUACCUUAAAGAA